AGCGCACCAGGACCGUCGGUCUGCAGAGCAAUAUCACCCGCUCGGUUGAAGAUAUUCCCUGUAUCGU
rnacentral:pre_miRNA from 1 species